GGUGCAAGCGUUAAUCGGAAUUACUGGGCGUAAAGCGUGCGCAGGCGGUUUUGUAAGUCUGUCGUGAAAGCCCCGGGCUUAACCUGGGAAUUGCGAUGGAGACUGCAAGGCUUGAAUCUGGCAGAGGGGGGUAGAAUUCCACGUGUAGCAGUGAAAUGCGUAGAGAUGUGGAGGAACACCGAUGGCGAAGGCAGCCCCCUGGGUCAAGAUUGACGCUCAUGCACGAAAGCGUGGGGAGCAAACAGGAUUAGAUACCCUGGUAGUCAAGGGCG
rnacentral:rRNA from 1 species